rnacentral:rRNA from 1 species
UACGGAGGGUGCGAGCGUUAAUCGGAAUUACUGGGCGUAAAGGGCGCGUAGGCGGCUAGAUAAGUUAGAUGUGAAAUCCCCGGGCUUAACCUGGGAAUGGCAUUUAAGACUGUGUAGCUAGAAUAGAGUAGAGGGAAGUGGAAUUUCCGGUGUAGCGGUGAAAUGCGUAGAUAUCGGAAAGAACACCAGUGGCGAAGGCGGCUUUCUGGACUCAUAUUGACGCUGAGGCGCGAAAGCAUGGGGAGCAAACAGG